rnacentral:rRNA from 1 species
CAGCCGCCACGGGAAUACGAAGGGGGCUAGCGUUGUUCGGAAUCACUGGGCGUAAAGCGCACGUAGGCGGACUUUUAAGCCAGGGGUGAAAUCCCAAGGCUCAACCUUGGAACUGCCUUUGAUACUGGAAGUCUUGAGUUCGGGAGAGGUGAGUGGAACUGCGAGUGUAGAGGUGAAAUUCGUAGAUAUUCGCAAGAACACCAGUGGCGAAGGCGGCUCACUGGCCCGAUACUAACGCUGAGGUGCGAAAGCGUGGGGAGCAAACAGGAUUAGAUACCCCCGUAGUCCCUGUCUCUUAUAC